GAUCUGGCUCAGGAUGAACGCUAGCUACGGGCUUAACACAUGCAAGUCGAGGGGCAGCAUGAACUUAGCUUGCUAAGUUUGAUGGCGACCGGCGCACGGGUGAGUAACACGUAUCCAACCUGCCGAUGACUCGGGGAUAGCCUUUCGAAAGAAAGAUUAAUACCCGAUGGCAUAGUUCUUCCGCAUGGUAGAACUAUUAAAGAACUUCGGUCAUCGAUGGGGAUGCGUUCCAUUAGGUUG
rnacentral:rRNA from 1 species